UUUCCAUGACACCCUUCCUCCCCACCCAGCCUUCCAACUUGUUGUUGCUAAGAAGUUGUUUAUGCCCCCGAUUGAGCCCGAACUUUCCACCACACAGACUUUUCCUGUUUUCCUGGUUGGGGAUUUUCACCUGCCUUGUUGUUUUCCACGGCUUUUGCCUUGGGUAAAGCCUUGGUUUCACUCUCUGAAAACUGGUGACCCGUAUACGUGUUUUCUUUCAAUCCCGCAGAUCUAUGCCUGAUAUGCACACACUGGUGGCAGGCGCCGUCAUUUGGAGGUUCCACCAAGAUCGGGAAAGAGGGGACAACCUGACGGGAUCAUUCCAAAAGGCCGGCCGGCAAAGAAGUGGAAUGUAUUGGGGACAAGGGGUGACCACAGGGCAAAGCUAAAAGAUGCUGAGGCCCCUGUUUGGGUCCCUGAGUAUUGUGUGCGUCCUGUGGAUGACAGUCCACCUGGAGAUAUACUAAAGCUUCGUGAAGAAUUCCCUGAUCCUGAUGCCAGGGGGAACACAUAACACGGCACAGCCUGCUGUUAUUACAACAAACCACGCAACAGGUAAAAUGGCAGCUCACACAAAGGUAAAACGAAUGAUUCUUAACCUUACUUUUCAUCUUAAAAGAUAGUCUAUGUUUUGUUAAGAUUUUUAUAAAGCCUCGUUAAAUAGCUCCUUUUGUCAUUCAUGUUUACUUUUAGUAAUGUUUCCAUAGCUGAUUUUAAUAUUUCUGUUACCAAUGCUAGUGUUAAUAGGAUUGAGAGAUAUUUUGUACCCCAUUAGCCUUAUUAGAAAUGAUAGUUAUCUGCCUUCUAGACCAGCACAUAGGUGCUGGCUUGAACCUCUAAGUACUGCCCCUUGCCAUUUUUGAUACCUCCCUACAUUUUUGCCCAAUUAAGAGAAAAAAAUCUGUGCCACGCGUGUUGGCAGCCCUUUUUCUUUUUGGUUCGGAAUAGGACUAAGGCAGUGUCAAGGGAGGAGAUUCUCAAUUGUUCUUCCAGGUCCUAUCCUACUGACCAGUUGCUGGGAACAGGAAGAUUCUGCAUGGAUUGUUUGAGUUCCUGGUGUGAUCUCCAUACCUCUGGAUGAAGGCUGAUUCCCAGUGGAACUCUACAGGCAUAAAAGAGACUUCUGGCAUUACUGUGACAGUCAUUGCUGCCAUCGCCAUUUCAGCCACCACUGCUGCCAUCGCCAUUUCAGCCACCACUGCUGCAGUGGUUGGUGUGGCCAUAUCUCAAUUGACAGCUAUCGUUGGGACUGCGGAUACGCCCUGGAAAAGUCACCACGACAUUGACUGUACAGAAUAGCGUUAAAAUUCAGAUUCAGUUGGUCAUUUUUAAUCUCAACCAACAAACUGCUCUCUAUUGGACUUCCUCUGGAAAACCCAUGUUAUGUCUUGUUCUACCUUUAUCAUUCGAUGUGUGUAACCCCUGUUAAGGUCCUUAAUAGCAGCAAGGCUGUUGGGGAUUUGAAUGCUUAUCUUGAUUGCUCGCUCUUAGCAGCUGCCCCUGGGCUAUUUUAAAGUACCAACAGAUCCAGUCUCAGGCUGAAACCAAACAGGUUUGGUUUUCAUUGACUGGGAAUAAUCCAUCAGCCCAAAUUAGGCUCAGUUUAUAUGACAAGUGGUUAGCCAAAGACGGGCAACCUUCUGGGACCAUACUCACCUAAGACAGAAACCCUGAGGCUGGCAGGGUUUUCAGAAAUGGGAAAGAGAGUUUUGGAACUCCAGAUUGAUCCUAAGAUAGGCGCUACUUUAAAAAAAAUAAAAGAGGGGGAAUUGUCAGGCCCUACCUUGGGGUGUUUCCCUUCCCCCUCGCUGAGCCUUUUAGCCUGCUAUAGUAAGAAGUUGUUUACACCCUUGGCAGCUGCUCUUAGCCCCUGAUUUGGGACCAGGACUUUCCAUGACACCCUUCCUCCCCACCUAGCCUUCCAGCUUGUUGUUGCUAAGAAGUUGUUUAUGCCCCUGAUUGGGCCCGGAACUUUCCACCACACAGACUUUUCCUGUUUUCCUGGUUGGGGAUUUUCACCUGCCUUGUUGUUUUCCACGGCUUUUGCCUCGGGUAUAUAAGGAAAUCUCAAUAAAGCCUUGGUGGCACUCUCUGAAAA